UACAGAGGGUGCGAGCGUUGUCCGGAAUUACUGGGCGUAAAGGGCGCGUAGGCGGCCCGAUAAGUCGGGGGUGAAAGUCAGCGGCUCAACCGCUGGACUGCCUUCGAGACUGUUAGGCUUGAGCAUGGUAGAGGCUGGCGGAGUUCCCGGUGUAGCGGUGGAAUGCGUAGAGAUCGGGAAGAACAUCGGUGGCGAAGGCGGCCAGCUGGGCCAUUGCUGACGCUGAUGCGCGACAGCGUGGGGAGCAAACAGG
rnacentral:rRNA from 1 species